rnacentral:rRNA from 1 species
AGUGAACGCUGGCGGUAGGCCUAACACAUGCAAGUCGAACGGCAGCACAGUAAGCGCUUGCUCUUACGGGUGGCGAGUGGCGGACGGGUGAGGAAUACAUCGGAAUCUACUUUUUCGUGGGGGAUAACGUAGGGAAACUUACGCUAAUACCGCAUACGACCUACGGGUGAAAGCAGGGGAUCUUCGGACCUUGCGCGAUUGAAUGAGACGAUGUCGGAUUAGCUAGUUGGCGGGGUAAAGGCCCACCAAGGCGACGAUCCGUAGCUGGUCUGAGAGGAUGAUCAGCCACACUGGAACUGAGACACGGUCCAGACUCCUACGGGAGGCAGCAGUGGGGAAUAUUGGACAAUGGGCGCAAGCCUGAUCCAGCCAUACCGCGUGGGUGAAGAAGGCCUUCGGGUUGUAAAGCCCUUUUGUUGGGAAAGAAAAGCAGCAGGUUAAUACCCCGCUGUUCUGACGGUACCCAAAGAAUAAGCACCGGCUAACUUCGUG